rnacentral:sRNA from 1 species
UUUGGAGAGGAUGACAGCCUGCUGCGUGUUGACUGCAUACGCUACAACCGUGCUGUCCGUGAUCUGGGUCCUGUCAUCAGCACAGGCCUGCUGCACCUGGCUGAGGAUGGGGUGCUGAGUCCCCUGGCACUGACAGAGGGUGGGAAGGGUUCCUCGCCCUCCGUCAGACCAAUCCAAGGCAGCCAGGGGUCCAGCAGCCCAGUGGAGAAGGAGGUCGUGGAAGCCACGGACAGCAGAGAGAAGACGGGGAUGGUGAGGCCUGGCGAGCCCUUGAGUGGGGAGAAAUACUCACCCAAGGUGAGCCUCCUUUGUGGUUUUCUUCUUUAAUCCUGGCAGAGGGUAAGGCCUGAGCUCCUCCUGCCCAGGUGCCAAGUUCUUGAUUGGAACUUUGGUGUGAAGAUUGGUGGCUGGAGCCAUGUGCCAGAAGACUUUCUGGGUUGGGUGGUGGCAGGGGCCUCCAUAGGCAUGGACUCGCUGCUCAUCCUUGCCUCUAGCUGCCUAUUGCUCAUGGGGCUUUGUUGCUGGCCCGCCCCCAUCAGAGGUGCAAUGCUGGGUUUUGGCAGGAGCUGCUGGCACUGCUAAAGUGUGUGGAGGCUGAGAUUGCAAACUAUGAGGCGUGCCUCAAGGAAGAGAUAGAGAAGAGGAAGAAGUUCAAGAUUGAUGACCAGAGAAGGACCCACAACUAUGAUGAGUUCAUCUGCACCUUUAUCUCCAUGCUGGCUCAGGAAGGCAUGCUGGCCAACCUAGUGGAGCAGAACAUCUCUGUGCGGCGGCGCCAAGGGGUCAGCAUCGGCCGGCUCCACAAGCAGCGGAAGCCUGACCGGCGGAAACGCUCUCGCCCCUACAAGGCCAAGCGCCAGUGAGGACUGCUGGCCCUGACUGCAGCCCACUCUUGCCGUGUGGCCCUCACCAGGGUCCUUCCCUGCCCCACUUCCCCUUUUCCCAGUAUUACUGAAUAGUCCCAGCCAGAGAGUCCAGGCCCUGGGAGCGGGAGGAACCAGGCCACAUUCCUUCCAUCGCGCCGAGGCCUGACACGGCAGAUCAGCCCCGUAGUGCUCAGGAGGCAGCAUCUGGAGUUGGGGCACAGCGAGGUACUGCAGCUUCCUCCACAGCCGGCUGUGGA